UACGGAGGGUGCAAGCGUUAUCCGGAUUCACUGGGUUUAAAGGGUGCGUAGGCGGGUAAGUAAGUCCGUGGUGAAAUCUCUGAGCUUAACCCGGAAAAGGCAUUGAAAACUAUGUUGCUUGAGGUUUGGAGGGGGGACUGGAAUUCUUGGUGUAGCAGUGAAAUGCGUAGAUAUCAAGAGGAACACCAGUGGCGAAGGCGGGUCCCUGGACAACACCUGACACUGAGGCACGAAAGCUAGGGGAGCAAACAGG
rnacentral:rRNA from 1 species